AUUGAACGCUGGCGGCGGGCCUAACACAUGCAAGUCGAACGAGUGGCGGACGGGUGAGCGAUGUCUGGGAAACUGCCUGAUGGAGGGGGAUAACUGCUGGAAACGGUAGCAAAUACUGCUUACCGUCAGAUGUGCUCAGAGGGGAUUAGCUAGUUGGUGGGGUAACGGCUCACCAAGGCGACGAUCCCUAGCUGGUCUGCGAGGCUGACCAGCCACACUGGAACUGAUACACGGCCCAGACUCCUACGGGAGGCAGCAGUAGGGAAUAUUUCGCAAUGGGCGAAAGCCUGAUGCAGCAAUGCCGCGUGUGUGAAGAAGGCCUUCGGAUUGUAAAGUACUGUCAUCGGGGAGGCGGUACCUGAAGAGGAAGCACCGGCUAACUCCGUGCCAGCAGCCGCGGUAAUAC
rnacentral:rRNA from 1 species